AGAGUUUGAUCAUGGCUCAGGACGAACGCUGGCGGCGUGCCUAAUACAUGCAAGUAGAACGCUGAAGAGAGGAGCUUGCUCUUCUUGGAUGAGUUGCGAACGGGUGAGUAACGCGUAGGUAACCUGCCUGGUAGCGGGGGAUAACUAUUGGAAACGAUAGCUAAUACCGCAUAAAAUUGAUUAUUGCAUGAUAAUUAAUUGAAAGAUGCAAUUGCAUCACUACCAGAUGGACCUGCGUUGUAUUAGCUAGUUGGUGAGGUAACGGCUCACCAAGGCGACGAUACAUAGCCGACCUGAGAGGGUGAUCGGCCGCACUGGGACUGAGACACGGCCCAGACUCCUACGGGAGGCAGCAGUAGGGAAUCUUCGGCAAUGGGGGAAACCCUGACCGAGCAACGCCGCGUGAGUGAAGAAGGUUUUCGGAUCGUAAAGCUCUGUUGUAAGAGAAGAACGGGUGUGAGAGUGGAAAGUUCACACUGUGACGGUAUCUUACCAGAAAGGGACGGCUAACUACGUGCCAGCAGCCGCGGUAAUACGUAGGUCCCGAGCGUUGUCCGGAUUUAUUGGGCGUAAAGCGAGCGCAGGCGGUUAGAUAAGUCUGAAGUUAAAGGCUGUGGCUUAACCAUAGUAUGCUUUGGAAACUGUUUAACUUGAGUGCAGAAGGGGAGAGUGGAAUUCCAUGUGUAGCGGUGAAAUGCGUAGAUAUAUGGAGGAACACCGGUGGCGAAAGCGGCUCUCUGGUCUGUAACUGACGCUGAGGCUCGAAAGCGUGGGGAGCAAACAGGAUUAGAUACCCCGGUAGUCCAA
rnacentral:rRNA from 1 species